rnacentral:rRNA from 1 species
AAUCAACGCUGGCGGCGUGCCUCAGACAUGCAAGUCGAACGAUUAAGACUUCCUUCGGGAAGUGCAUAAAGUGGCGCACGGGUGAGUAACACGUAAGUAAUCUACCUUCGAGUGGGGAAUAACGUUCGGAAACGAACGCUAAUACCGCAUAAUGCAGCGGCAUCGCAAGAUGACAGUUGUUAAAGGAAUUUAUUUCGCUUGAAGAGGAGCUUGCGGCAGAUUAGCUAGUUGGUAAGGUAACGGCUUACCAAGGCUACGAUCUGUAUCCGGACUAAGAGGACGGUCGGACACACUGACACUGAAUAACGGGUCAGACUCCUACGGGAGGCAGCAGUCGGGAAUUUUGGGCAAUGGGCGAAAGCCUGACCCAGCAACGCCGCGUGAAGGAUGAAGUAUUUCGGUAUGUAAACUUCGAAAGAAUGGGAAGAAUAAAUGACGGUACCAUUUAUAAGCUCCGGCUAACUACGUGCCAGCAGCCGCGGU